UUUAAUUUUCUCUCUCCUCAAAAACUCAUUGUUGAAUUCGACAGAGGUAGUUCCGUUAAGCCCAACUUUACCAUUGUCAUUUCCUUGACGGCUUGAAUCCUUCACUCCUCCACGAAUUCCUCUCCUUCAUCAAAGGUUUGGCAGCAAGAAGUAGCCCACCCAUGUUCAAUUGGAAAUGUUGUGGAUCAAUUUUGAAGCUUGAGGUGGUGAACAAGGAUGACAACCAUGACAAAUUGACAGUCCCAACAUCGCCCGAUCUUAAUCCAAAUGAAAAUCUUAUUGCAUCUUCUAUUAUUUUUUGAAAACUGUAAUUUGUGUUAUUAAAACUUUAUCUUUGGUUUGUAAUUAGUGAAUUACAAUUUUUAUUGGUUUAUUAUCGU